rnacentral:tRNA from 1 species
GCUGUGGUGGUUCAGUGGUAGAAUUACCACCUUCCAUGUGGGAGGCCCAGGUUUGGUUCCUGGCCAGUACA